rnacentral:rRNA from 1 species
AUUGAACGCUGGCGGCAGGCCUAACACAUGCAAGUCGAACGGUAACAGGAAGCAGCUUGCUGCUUCGCUGACGAGUGGCGGACGGGUGAGUAAUGCCUGGGAAACUGCCUGAUGGAGGGGGAUAACUACUGGAAACGGUAGCUAAUACCGCAUAACGUCGCAAGACCAAAGAGGGGGACCUUAGGGCCUCUUGCCAUCGGAUGUGCCCAGAUGGGAUUAGCUAGUAGGUGGGGUAACGGCUCACCUAGGCGACGAUCCCUAGCUGGUCUGAGAGGAUGACCAGCCACACUGGAACUGAGACACGGUCCAGACUCCUACGGGAGGCAGCAGUGGGGAAUAUUGCACAAUGGGCGCAAGCCUGAUGCAGCCAUGCCGCGUGUAUGAAGAAGGCCUUCGGGUUGUAAAGUACUUUCAGCGGGGAGGAAGGGAGUAAAGUUAAUACCUUUGCUCAUUGACGUUACCCGCAGAAGAAGCACCGGCUAACUCCGUG